AGAAUGAACGCUGGCGGCAUGCCUAACACAUGCAAGUCGAACGAAGCCUUCGGGUUUAGUGGCGCACGGGUGCGUAACGCGUGGGAAUCUACCCCUUGGUUCGGAAUAACAGUUGGAAACGACUGCUAAUACCGGAUGACGACGUAAGUCCAAAGAUUUAUCGCCGAGGGAUGAGCCCGCGUAGGAUUAGGUAGUUGGUGUGGUAAAGGCGCACCAAGCCGACGAUCCUUAGCUGGUCUGAGAGGAUGAUCAGCCACACUGGGACUGAGACACGGCCCAGACUCCUACGGGAGGCAGCAGUGGGGAAUAUUGGACAAUGGGCGAAAGCCUGAUCCAGCAAUGCCGCGUGAGUGAUGAAGGCCUUAGGGUUGUAAAGCUCUUUACCCGGGAUGAUAAUGACAGUACCGGAGAAUAAGCUCCGGCUAACUCCGCGCCAGCAGCCGC
rnacentral:rRNA from 1 species